GGUUUUAUGAUAAAUAUGGAUUACUUGGGGUCAUUGGAAGCAUAGAUUGCACUCAUGUUGCUAUUUUUCCUCCUCGAGAAAAUGAUAUUUAUGUUAAUAGAAAAAAUUAUCAUUCUAUUAAUGUUCAACUAAUUUGUGACAGUGAGAUGAGAAUUACCAAUAUCAAUGCACGUUUUCCUGGCAGUACACAUGAUGAACAUAUAUGGAGUCAGUCUAUUGUCCAAGAAGCGGUGUCCAAUUUGAGCCGAAGAAAUCCUGGCUAUUAUUUAAUUGGUGACUCUGGUUAUCCACUACGUUUACGGUUGCAGACACCAAUACGGGAUCCUCAGCCAGGAACACCAGAAUUUGCAUAUAAUACUGUUUUUAAAAGAGCACGUAGUACCGUAAGAAAGAUGCAGUGGUCUACUGAAAAUGCGGUUUAGGAUUAAAACACAGGGCUUUACAUUAUACACCAACAGUCUGCUCAAAAAUUAUAUAUUCAUGUGCUGCUCUGCACAAUAUGUCUUUAACCGCACAUAUUCCUGAACCAGAAGAGGAACUUGAAAAUGAAAAUUUAGAUUUUGGACUUAUGGCAGAAAAUUUUGUAGAACCUGCAGAUGGACCUAGACAAAACCCUAACUUAGUAGCUGGAAGAAAUAUGCAGCAACAAGUUAUUCAUAAUUAUUUUAUGUAAAUUACUUUUUAAUAAAAUAUCUAACAGUUUUUUUAAUAGAACAAAUCUAUGCAAAGGAAUCUAAAUUAGAAUUGA